GCGAAGCGGUGACGUGGAGCAAACCACAGAAAGCCAAUCUCAGUUCGGAUUGUAGGCUGCAACUCGCCUACAUGAAGUUGGAAUCGCUAGUAAUCGCGAAUCAGAAUGUCGCGGUGAAUACGUUCCCGGGUCUUGUACACACCGCCCGUCACACCACGAGAGUUUACAACACCCGAAGUCAGUGGCCUAACCGCAAGGAGGGAGCUGCCUAAGGUGGGGUAGAUGAUUGGGGUGAAGUCGUAACAAGGUAGC
rnacentral:rRNA from 1 species